UACGUAGGGUGCAAGCGUUAAUCGGAAUUACUGGGCGUAAAGCGUGCGCAGGCGGUUUUGUAAGUCUGACGUGAAAGCCCCGGGCUCAACCUGGGAAUUGCGUUGGAGACUGCAAGGCUUGAAUCUGGCAGAGGGGGGUAGAAUUCCACGUGUAGCAGUGAAAUGCGUAGAGAUGUGGAGGAACACCGAUGGCGAAGGCAGCCCCCUGGGUCAAGAUUGACGCUCAUGCACGAAAGCGUGGGGAACAAACAGG
rnacentral:rRNA from 1 species